rnacentral:rRNA from 1 species
AUGCCCCAGAUCGAGUCGAGCAGGUCGGCCGAUGCACUAGGGUUCCGUUUGGUCAGCUCCGCGCCGGUUCUCCGGUUGGCCGCCCGCCCGACGAUGGAUCUCCCGCCGCUCUCCCACAAGGCGCUCCUGGGCUGCGACCUCUGCCACCUCGUCGUCCUCUUCGGCCUCAACGUCCACAAGGGCGACAUGAGCAUCGACGGCCGCUGGUGGUACAUCGUGCUAUGGGUUGCCGCCUCGCGCCGGGGCCUGGCCGUGGACUGGGACGUCCUCAAGGAGCGGCUGGUGGAGCUUCGUCCACAUUGUGCUGGAGCAGACCCGCCUCCGCACCGCCCUCACGCCCCACCGCUCACAGGUUGGUUCAUGUCCUACUUACUGCUUCCCUUGCUCGCCUUGCUGAGCUCUAUGUUCCUCUUUCCUUACGACUUUGCAACGUCCUAG